rnacentral:rRNA from 1 species
UGUAUGGUUAAGUGACUAAGCGUACACGGUGGAUGCCUGGGCAGUCAGAGGCGAUGAAGGACGUACUAACUUGCGAUAAGCGCAGAUAAGGCAGUAAGAGCCGUUUGAGUCUGCGAUUUCCGAAUGGGGAAACCCAACUGCAUAAGCAGUUACUGUUAACUGAAUACAUAGGUUAACAGAGCAAACCGGGGGAACUGAAACAUCUAAGUACCCCGAGGAGAAGAAAUCAACCGAGAUUCCGGUAGUAGCGGCGAGCGAACCUGGAUUAGCCCUUAAGCACUCGGUGAAGUAGGUGAACAAGCUGGAAAGCUUGGCGAUACAGGGUGAUAGCCCCGUAACCGACGCUUCAUCGAGCGUGAAAUCGAGUAGGGCGGGACACGUGAUAUCCUGUCUGAAUAUGGGGGGACCAUCCUCCAAGGCUAAAUACUCCUGACUGACCGAUAGUGAACCAGUACCGUGAGGGAAAGGCGAAAAGAACCCCUGUGAGGGGAGUGAAAUAGAACCUGAAACCGUGUACGUACAAGCAGUAGGAGCACCUUCGUGGUGUGACUGCGUACCUUUUGUAUAAUGGGUCAGCGACUUAUAUUCAGUGGCAAGGUUAACCGUAUAGGGGAGCCGUAGCGAAAGCGAGUCUUAACUGGGCGCUCAGUCUCUGGAUAUAGACCCGAAACCGGGUGAUCUAGCCAUGGGCAGGUUGAAGGUUGAGUAACAUCAACUGGAGGACCGAACCGACUAAUGUUGAAAAAUUAGCGGAUGACUUGUGGCUAGGGGUGAAAGGCCAAUCAAACUCGGAGAUAGCUGGUUCUCCCCGAAAGCUAUUUAGGUAGCGCCUCGGACGAAUACUACUGGGGGUAGAGCACUGUUAAGGCUAGGGGGUCAUCCCGACUUACCAACCCUUUGCAAACUCCGAAUACCAGUAAGUACUAUCCGGGAGACACACGGCGGGUGCUAACGUCCGUCGUGGAGAGGGAAACAACCCAGACCGCCAGCUAAGGUCCCAAAGUAUUGCUAAGUGGGAAACGAUGUGGGAAGGCUCAGACAGCUAGGAUGUUGGCUUAGAAGCAGCCAUCAUUUAAAGAAAGCGUAAUAGCUCACUAGUCGAGUCGGCCUGCGCGGAAGAUGUAACGGGGCUAAGCAAUACACCGAAGCUGCGGCAAUGUCCUUUGGACAUUGGGUAGGGGAGCGUUCUGUAAGCCGUUGAAGGUGAAUCGUAAGGUUUGCUGGAGGUAUCAGAAGUGCGAAUGCUGACAUGAGUAACGACAAAGGGGGUGAAAAACCUCCUCGCCGGAAGACCAAGGGUUCCUGUCCAACGUUAAUCGGGGCAGGGUGAGUCGACCCCUAAGGUGAGGCCGAAAGGCGUAAUCGAUGGGAAACGGGUUAAUAUUCCCGUACUUCUGACUAUUGCGAUGGGGGGACGGAGAAGGCUAGGUGGGCCAGGCGACGGUUGUCCUGGUUCAAGUGCGUAGGCUUGAGAGUUAGGUAAAUCCGGCUCUCUCUAAGGCUGAGACACGACGUCGAGCUGCUACGGCAGUGAAGUCAUUGAUGCCAUGCUUCCAGGAAAAGCCUCUAAGCUUCAGAUAGUCAGGAAUCGUACCCCAAACCGACACAGGUGGUCGGGUAGAGAAUACCAAGGCGCUUGAGAGAACUCGGGUGAAGGAACUAGGCAAAAUGGUACCGUAACUUCGGGAGAAGGUACGCUCUUGAUGGUGAAGUCCCUCGCGGAUGGAGCUGACGAGAGUCGCAGAUACCAGGUGGCUGCAACUGUUUAUUAAAAACACAGCACUGUGCAAAAUCGCAAGAUGACGUAUACGGUGUGACGCCUGCCCGGUGCCGGAAGGUUAAUUGAUGGGGUUAGCGCAAGCGAAGCUCUUGAUCGAAGCCCCGGUAAACGGCGGCCGUAACUAUAACGGUCCUAAGGUAGCGAAAUUCCUUGUCGGGUAAGUUCCGACCUGCACGAAUGGCGUAAUGAUGGCCACGCUGUCUCCACCCGAGACUCAGUGAAAUUGAAAUCGCUGUGAAGAUGCAGUGUACCCGCGGCUAGACGGAAAGACCCCGUGAACCUUUACUACAGCUUGGCACUGAACAUUGAACCUACAUGUGUAGGAUAGGUGGGAGGCUAUGAAGACGUGACGCCAGUUGCGUUGGAGCCGUCCUUGAAAUACCACCC